AUACAGAGGGUGCAAGCGUUAAUCGGAUUUACUGGGCGUAAAGGGCGCGUAGGCGGUAAGAAGUAGUGUGUUGUGAAAGCCCCGGGCUCAACCUGGGAAUGGCGAUGGAUACUGGCGGGCUAGAGUGCGGUAGAGGAGAGUGGAAUUCCCGGUGUAGCAGUGAAAUGCGUAGAGAUCGGGAGGAACAUCAGUUGCGAAGGCGGCUCUCUGGACCAGCACUGACACUGAGGCACGAAAGCGUGGGGAGC
rnacentral:rRNA from 1 species